AUCAACUUUCGAUGGUAGGAUAGAGGCCUACCAUGGUGGUAACGGGUAACGGGGUGUUAGGGCACGACACCGGAGAGGGAGCCUGAGAAACGGCUACCACAUCCAAGGAUGGCAGCAGGCGCGCAAAUUACCCAAUCCCGACACGGGGAGGUAGUGACAAUAAAUAACAAUACGGGGUUCUAAAGGAUUUCGUAAUUGGAAUGAGUACAAUUUAAAUCUCUUAACGAUCAACAAUUGGAGGGCAAGUCUGGUGCCAGCAGCCGCGGUAAUUCCAGCUCCAAUAGCGUAUAUUAAAGUUGUUGCAGUUAAAAAGCUCGUAGUUGAAUUUCGGGGUUAGUAGGUUGGUCAUGCCUCUGGUAUGUACUGAUCUCACUGAUUCCUCCCUCUUGACGAACUGUAAUGUCAUUAAUUUGGUGUUCCAGGAAAUCAGGACUGUUACUUUGAAAAAAUUAGAGUGUUUAAAGCAGGCUUUAGGCUUGAAUACAUUAGCAUGGAAUAAUGAAAUAGGACGUUUGAACCUAUUUUGUUGGUUUCUAGGAUCGACGUAAUGAUUAAUAGGGAUAGUUGGGGGCAUUAGUAUUCAAUUGUCAGAGGUGAAAUUCUUGGAUUUAUUGAAGACUAACUACUGCGAAAGCAUUUGCCAAGGAUGUUUUCAUUAAUCAAGAACGAAAGUUAGGGGAUCGAAGACGAUCAGAUACCGUCGUAGUCUUAACCAUAAACUAUGCCGACUAGGGAUCGGAUGAUGUUAAUUUUUUAAUGACUCAUUCGGCGCCUUACGGGAAACCAAAGUGUUUGGGUUC
rnacentral:rRNA from 1 species